GUCAUGAUCCUCCCUUAUUCUAAGAAGUAGUGGCCAUGAUCAAGUCAUGAUCCUCCCUUAUUCUAGGAAGUAGUGGCCAUGAUCAAGUCAUGAUCCUUUGAUGUACCCUAUAAAUAUUUGCAUAAACAUCAAUGAAGAAUGAACUUGGAAUUUCAUUCAGUCUUUGAGUACUUUACACUCAAGAGGUUUAAGGCUCCCUCUUUGAGCCGAAUCGUUAAUGACCCGAGCAAACAAAAAGAAAUCUAACCCAAACACUCAAACACCUACCCAACCAUCUACACUUAGACCCCAAACAAGAUCCUUGGCCCGGGACCCUAACAUUUUGGUAUCAGAGCCGACUGUUAUGGGGGACUCUAUUCAAGACCAGCUUACUAAACUUCUCAAUGUCGUCCUUUCUGAGCAGCAGGCUAAUCAACUUCGCCAUGAUAAAGUUGAGCAGCUCCAUGCUAAGAUGGAUGCCAUGUCCCUUGAUUUAAACUCAGUUAAACAGGCUCGUUCUACUUCUCCCGAAGCAGAAAGCCAAGCUCGACCAAGGCGUGACAAGGGAAUAGUUGGAACCACCAGUUCUGUGACUACUCGCGAUUGCUCCUUUGUGCCCAAAUACACCAAACUGGACUUCCCUCGCUAUAACGGCACGGAAGAUCCUCUUGGGUGGAUUAGCAGGUGUCAACACUUCUUCAAGCAUCAGUCCACUCCCGAUGAUGAACAAGUGGGACUGGCUUCUUACCACCUUGAAGGAAUUGCCCAAUUGUGGUACUUACAGUUAAUCCAGGAUGUUCCAAAUCCUACUUGGGCUGAGUUUGUUGACCAAUGUAAUCUUCGUUUUGGACCCCCUAUUCGCAGCAACAAGUUAGGGGAGCUUGCCAAAUUGAAGCAGACAGGAACGGUGGAGGAUUAUCAAACUAAAUUUGAGAUUUUGGUUUCGAGGGCCGGUACCUUAGGUUCCAAUCAGAAAGUUCAGUUGUAUAUUAGUGGAUUACAGGAAUACAUAGCAGUGGAAGUCGAGCUACACCAGCCAAAAGACUUAGCCACCGCCAUGAGUAUGUCACGCCUGUAUGAACGCAAGCUCUACUCCAAGAGUGUUGCCCAACGUGAGGUCAGACGUCCUGCUCCCCUUUCGGAACACCGCCCUGGCCGUACCAUCAAACGACUCACCCCAGACGAAAUGGAUGAGAGACGGAAGAAAGGACUGUGCUUUAACUGUGAUGAGCCGUUUGUACGCGGACAUCAAUGCAAACGCCUAUUUUUGAUUGAUCUGGAUGACGGCAGUAAGUCUGAUGCGGAGUCUGAUUCCGAUUCUCCACCAGAAAUUUCUCUCCAUGCCAUCACCGGAACUCGCAAUUCCCAGUCUAUGCGACUUCUAGGUUGUUGGCACGGUAGGCAAGUACUGAUCUUGGUCGAUUCAGGAAGCACCCAUAGUUUUGUCUCGGAUUCGGUGGUGGCCGAUUUGCAGGUUACAGUGGAUGCGAAGGAUGGGUUACGGGUGAAAGUUGCGAAGGAUGGGUUACGGGUGAAAGUUGCGAAUGGUGAACAACUUCACAGUCCUGGUCUUUGCAAAGGCGCACCGAUUGAAUUGGGAAACUCUGUUUUCACAGUGGAUUUAUUUGUGUUACAGCUCACUGGUUUUGACUUGGUAUUGGGUGUUAAUUGGCUAGCUACUCUGGGCCCCAUCUUAUGGGAUUUUAACUCCAUGUGGAUGUCUUUCUUUGUUAAUGGGAAACAGGUGGCUCUUACGGGUAUAGACAGCAAAUCAGAAACAAAUUCAUCCCUCAAUUCCCUUUCACCAUCUGCUGCUCGCAAUCAUCAUCUGCGCCAAUUAUUAGCUGAUUUUGCUGCACUCUUUGAAGCUCCCACAGGUCUCCCACCUGCUCGCCACUGUGACCACAGGAUUCCUCUAGCUCCAAAUACCAAACCCGUAGUGGGUCAUCCUUACCGAUACCCACACAACCAAAAAGAUGAGAUCGAGCGACAGUGUAUUGCUAUGCUGGAUCAAGGGAUUAUUCGUCCCAGCCGAUCACCUUUUUCUUCUCCGGUACUUCUGGUUCCUAAAGCUAACAAAACUUGGCGCCUAUGCGUGGAUUACAGGGAACUUAACGCAAGAACUAUCAAAGACAAAUUUCCAAUUCCUGUGAUUGAAGAGCUUCUGGACGAAUUGGGAGGGGCAAAGUAUUGUACUUCCAAGUUGGCAUGCAUCCACCAGACAUUGAGAAGACCGCAUUCAGAACUCACCAUGGCCAUUUUGAAUUUUUGGUCAUGCCAUUCGGGCUGUCAAAUGCUCCUUCCACAUUCCAGGCUUUAAUGAAUGAGGUAUUUCAUGCCCACUUGCGCAAAUUUGUUUUAGUCUUCUUUGACGACAUUCUGGUUUUCAGUAAAUCUUGGGAUGACCAUAUGCAACAUCUGCGACAAGUGUUUAGCCUCUUGGCAGAAAACAAAUUGUUCUUGAAACGGUCCAAGUGUACCUUUGCCCAAACGGAAGUUUCUUAUUUGGGUCAUGUCAUUUCACAUGAAGGCGUUCAGGUUGACAAAUCCAAAAUUUCGGCUAUUACUGAUUGGCCGCGACCAGUUUCUAUUCGAGGCUUGCGGGGUUUUUUGGGUCUUGCUGGUUACUACCGUAAGUUUGUCUUCAAUUUUGGCCUUAUUGCUGCUCCCCUCACAGCUAUGUUGCGAAAGAACUCCUUCCACUGGACUGAAUUAUUCAAGUUGUCUGGUACUAAACUGUGUUUUAGUUCAGCUUAUCAUCCACAAUCGGAUGGUCAAACAGAGGUCACAAAUCGUACAGUGGAAAUGUAUUUACGCUGCUUCUCUAGUUCUCAUCCCCACAAAUGGUGUGAUUGGCUUUCUUGGGCUAAAUUUUGCUACAACACCAGCUACCAUUCAGCUCUUAAAUCCACUCCAUUUGAGAUUGUCUAUGGGCGUGCUCCACCUAGACUCCUUUCUUACUUGGCCGGCAAUUCCACUGUAGAGACUGUGGAUGUUAUUUUACAACAACAUGACUCAAUGUUGCAGCUCCUACGCAACAACCUUCAAUUGGCUCAAAACAGAAUGAAACUUCAUUAUGAUCGUUCUCACCGGCCAUUGGAGUUUAAUGUUGGUAAUGUCGUUCUACUCCGACUCCAGCCAUACCGUCAGUCAUCCAUUGCCUCAAGAAAAAAUCAGAAAUUGGCUGCCAAAUAUUAUGGUCCUUUUGAGGUUUUGGAGCGCAUUGGCUCUAUGGCUUAUCGGUUGAAGCUUCCCCCUGAUUCCAAAUUACAUCCAGUCUUUCAUGUCUCCACACUCGAGCCAUAUCAUUCUGAUUCUGGAAAUUUUGAAACGAUUCUCCCUCCUAUUACUGAACAGCAACCUUUGGUUCCCUUUGCUAUUUUGGAACAGCGUUGUCGUUCGGGAAAACAGGAAGUCUUGGUCCAUUGGAGCCAAUCUUCCCCAGCUAAUUCCUCUUGGGAAAAUGUUCAGGAUUUGCUAGCACGCUUUCCAGAUUUUACGCUUGCGGACAAGCUUCCUAACGGGGCGAGAAGUACUGUUACGAGACCCUUGCAGGUGUAUACUCGUAACCAGUAGAAGCAGCAGCCACGUGUAAUGCUUAUGGAAGUUGAGAAUUGAAGCAGUUAGUCAUGUUCAGUUUCUAGUUUAUUUGUUGAAUAUUUCUUUAUGCAUUAUGUUAGUGUUUCCAUUAUAUUAGGAGGGUAUUUUUCAGAUUCUGUUAUUUCCCUUAUUUUAGGAAGUAGUGGCCAUGAUCAAGUCAUGAUCCUCCCUUAUUCUAAGAAGUAGUGGCCAUGAUCAAGUCAUGAUCCUCCCUUAUUCUAGGAAGUAGUGGUCAUGAUCAAGUCAUGAUCCUUUGAUGUACCCUAUAAAUAUUUGCAUAAACAUCAAUGAAGAAUGAACUUGGAAUUUCAUUCAGUCUUUGAGUACUUUACACUCAAGAGGUUUAAGGCUCCCUCUUUGAGCCGAAUCGUUAAUGACCCGAGCAAACAAAAAGAAAUCUAACCCAAACACUCAAACACCUACCCAACCAUCUACACUUAGACCCCAAACAAGAUCCUUGGCCCGGGACCCUAACAU
rnacentral:lncRNA from 1 species